AACAAACGCUGGCGGCGUGCCUAAUACAUGCAAGUCGAACGGGGAAAGCUUUCGGGUGAGUACUAGUGGCGCACGGGUGAGUAACGCGUGGAUAAUCUGCCUUAGAGUGGGGGAUAACUAGUCGAAAGAUUAGCUAAUACCCAUAAGACCACAAGAACUGCGGUUCAAGGGGUCAAAGGUUUUUCGCUCUAAGAUGAGUCCACGUAAGAUUAGCUAGUUGGUGAGGUAAUGGCUCACCAAGGCGACGAUCUUUAACUGGUCUGAGAGGAUGAUCAGUCAAACUGGAACUGAGACACGGUCCAGACACCUACGGGAGGCAGCAGUAGGGAAUAUUGCACAAUGGAGGAAACUCUGAUGCAGCGACGCCGCGUGAGUGAUGAAGGCCUUCGGGUCGUAAAGCUCUGUCGCAAGGGAAUAACACAAUGAAUGUACCUUGCAAGAAAGGAUCGGCUAACUUCGUGCCAGCCGCCGCCGUAA
rnacentral:rRNA from 1 species